UAACCUCGCGCGAUCCGAGUUUGUUCCUUUUAACUAUACCGCAGUCGAGGUGAGACACACGAAGGCGGCACCAAAUCUCACAAAUGAUGGAGUUACAGUGGUACUGGAGCGCGUCCUGCCGCUGGGAAAAUUAUCCGAGAAUAGAACAAUAUUGAGCUAUGGGGCACUUUGAGCACGGUAUCAAGUUGUAGCUUCUGGACAAGCAGUGGUGACAAUGUGUGUAAUACCUGUGGCAGAUAACCUGCGCGUACGGAUUCUCGAUGCUGACUAUAUCACCGGGUUGAAACUCCCGUGUCGCCACAUAAUGUCUACCGUAUCUUUCGGAGAA